GAAUUCUUGAGAAAGAGGUACUCUGCUAUUGUCACUAGGGGGAAAUGUCACCUGAGAAUGAGGACAAUCCUGCCAAAUGGGUUGUUCUUACUUUCCACCUACUUACUGAUGGGGAAACUGAGACUCAGAGAGGCAAAGUCACAUGCCUAAGGUACACUGCUAUGAAGUAAUGGAGCCAGGUCUGUGCUCUGCCUGCCACACCAUGCUGUCUCUCCAGGGCUCCAGGCCAGGUCUCCCACAGCAUCUCUGGGGACAAGUAGGAGACACAGAGGCUGCAGAGUUCAGACCGGGUUGUCAUGCAAAUUUAUUACUUCCUUUUUACUCAAUAUUGUUCCUAAUCAUUUCCCCAUGUUAUUAGAAAUGUAUAAAGAGGCUCUUUUAAGGGUGCCUGGGUGGCUCAGUCGUUAAGCGUCUGCCUUUGGCUCAGGUCAUGAUCCCAGGGUCCUGGGAUCGA